rnacentral:rRNA from 1 species
GAUCCUGGCUCGGGAUGAACGCUGGCGGCAUGCCUAAGACAUGCAAGUCGAACGGAGGGACCCAAUGACGUUUUAUGAAGUUUUGCGAGCUUGCUCAAGAAACGGAUUAAAGCUGAUUUGGAUUAUCCCUUAGUGGCAAACGGGUGAGUAACACGUGGGUUACCUACCUCCAAGUCGGGGACAACAGUUGGAAACGAUUGCUAAUACCGGAUGUGGACUACGGUUUAAAGAAGCCUUUAAAGCUUCGCUUGGAGAUGGG